GGGGAUUUAGCUCAGCAGUAGAGUGCUUGCCUAGCAAGCGAAAGGCCCUGGGUUCGGUCCCCAGCUCCG
rnacentral:tRNA from 1 species